rnacentral:rRNA from 1 species
AGUGAACGCUGGCGGUGGGCCUAACACAUGCAAGUCGAACGGCAGCACAGGAGAGCUUGCUCUCUGGGUGGCGAGUGGCGGACGGGUGAGGAAUACAUCGGAAUCUACUUUUUCGUGGGGGAUAACGUAGGGAAACUUACGCUAAUACCGCAUACGACCUACGGGUGAAAGCAGGGGAUCUUCGGACCUUGCGCGAUUGAAUGAGCCGAUGUCGGAUUAGCUAGUUGGCGGGGUAAAGGCCCACCAAGGCGACGAUCCGUAGCUGGUCUGAGAGGAUGAUCAGCCACACUGGAACUGAGACACGGUCCAGACUCCUACGGGAGGCAGCAGUGGGGAAUAUUGGACAAUGGGCGCAAGCCUGAUCCAGCCAUACCGCGUGGGUGAAGAAGGCCUUCGGAUUGUAAAGCCCUUUUGUUGGGAAAGAAAUCCAGCUGGUUAAUACCCGGUUGGGAUGACGGUACCCAAAGAAUAAGCACCGGCUAACUUCGUGCCAGCAGCCGCCGUAA